rnacentral:ncRNA from 2 species
CUCUUAUCAAGAGAGGUGGAGGGAUGUGCCCAAUGAAGCCCGGCAACCGUCAAUUCUUUGAAUUGAAAUGGUGCCAAUUCACACAAAGCAUUUUGCUUUGAGAGAUGGGAG